AGGCAGUCGGCGCUGAGGUCUAGAACCCUCUCUGUUUAACGGAUUCUCAGGUCGUAAAGGAACAAUGAACGUGUUCUGGCUUUCGAUAUUUUUAGCUUGGUUACCGAAUGUCUUCAGUGCAUCGAUAGAACAGACACCAAGAGAGGUAACAAAAGAAGCAGGUGACACUCUGACAAUCAACUGCGUUGUCCGUGAUAUACCUGCUGGCUGCAAUCUAAAUAGCAUAGGCUGGGCCCGCCAACGUCCAGGUCAAACGGAUAGCCAAUAUCUAUCGAUUGGAGGACGAUAUGCUGAAUCAUUCAACCAGGGAGCAAAGUCUUCUUCCCUGACGAUCAGCAAGUUGACUGUUGAAGACACUGCCACGUAUUAUUGCUGUGAUGGAUACCACAGAAGUAAAUCAUUGUGUAUUUAUGACGUUGGUGGACCUGGCACAACGCUGACGGUGAAACCUGUGAAACAACCGACUCCACCAACCAUCAAUCUCGUCUACUCUGCAACCGACGAACAAAGAGAAAAGGGAUUUGUGAAACUGAUUUGUCUCAUCAGCGAAUACGAGCCAGAAAAUAUCAGAGUGAGCUGGCAGAGUAACGGACAAGCCGUACAUUCUGGGUUUACUACCACGUCCCCCGCUAAAAAUUCCGACGGAACGUUUACCUCCACAAGUGUCUUCAAGGUACCGCUGAAGGAAUGGGCCAGCGGUUCCGUGUAUUCCUGCCAAGUAUCGCACUCUGAAACCAGAAGCAACAUUCACAAAGACAUACGAGUUGAGUCAGACCUCGCAAUAUUUCUCAGUAAUCCGACUGUUGAAGAAAUUUGGAUCAACAAAACCGCGACCCUGCUGUGUGAAGUGAUCGCCACAACUUCAGACGAGGUUCUGAUAUCUUGGACAGUGGAUGGGAAGGAAAGGAUUGUUGGUGUGGAAAUCCAACAAGCAACAAAGGUCGGGAACCAGUACUUGACAACCGGCCGUUUGACCAGCAGUGUGGCGGAGUGGGACAGUGGGACAGAAUAUUCGUGCUCGGCGCAGCAAAAUCAUUCAAGUGCUCCGAUAUCAAAACGGACAGGGAAGACAAAAGCCAAACCAGUGGAACCAAAGCUCCGACUCUUGCCUCCGUCUCUAGAGGAGAUUCAAACGGCGCGCACUGCUACACUCACAUGCUUGAUAACAGGGUUCUAUCCCGACAACAAAACCAUUUACUGGCAGAAAGGCGGAGCCUCAUUCCUCUCGAACGCUACCAUCUUCCCCACAGCACUUCAACAGGACAUGACUUUCAGCACAAAAAGUCUCCUCCAUUUGACUACAGACGAAUGGAAUAAGGACGCAAAAUACUCAUGUGUCGUCUUGCACCCACCUUCAAAAUCCACUGUGAUGAGAAGCAUCAAUACCACGAAAGAAGAUUGCCAUGCACCCUACAUUAGUGCCACCAUACAAAAACCAUCCUUUGAAGAGAUUUGGACACAUAAGAGAGCAACCGUUGUUUGUGAAGUGGUUUACGCCAAUUUACAAAACCUCAACGUCUCCUGGCGAGUGAAUGGAAGUCGUAGAAUGGAUGGAGUAGAGACUCACGGUCCUGAGUCGAGGGGAAGUAAAUACACCAUCGUCAGCAAGCUGAAGGUCUGCGUGGAGGAGUGGAACAGUGGAUUUCAAUACCUGUGCUUCGUAGAAGACAGCGAACAGCCAACACCAUUGAACAUCUCCACAAAAAAAUCUAAGGUUACUGAAAUGCAACGUCCCAAUGUCCACUUACUGCACCCAUCAUCGGACGAGAUUCAAGCCGAGAAAACAGCGACCCUACUUUGCCUAGCCACCGGCUUUUACCCAGAUGACAUAUACAUAGCCUGGAUGUCCAAUGACACUUACCUGGAUUCGGGAUAUUCCAUCCAAUCUGACACGGAUAAGGAAAGCGGCUACAGCUCACUUGCCAGCAAACUGAGGGUGACAGCAGAGGACUGGGAGAAGGGGACCACCUUCAGCUGUUUGGUUGGACAUCCAUCCCUCCCAACGAAUUUAGUCAGAAGUAUAAAUAAAUCUCACGGUAAACCUACUUUCGUUAAUGUGUCACUCGUUUUAACGGACAGUUUUAAAUCCUGCGUCUAAUUAUUCGUGAUCUUUGUAAGUGUUGUCUUGUUAAGUUCGUAACUGCUUGAGCUGCCGAGUAGGUAAAUUCCAUAUUUAUCAAACGCCACAGUCCCCCUUCAAAUUAUCCAACAGCUGUUGAAAUAUUUCAGUAAUCUCAUCAGUCAGAGAAAAUUGUGAUGAACAACCCAUAACGUUGCAACGGUUUUUGACGCUGAAAAUGCUUCGUAGAAGUUAGCCAGCUAUUGAAUAGAUAGGAGAUGGUGAUUUAUCCUGUAUGCAGCUUUACAUUGAAAUAAAUGCAGAAUGAAAAUCUUU